AUUGAACGCUGGCGGCAGGCUUAACACAUGCAAGUCGAACGAGUGGCGGACGGGUGAGUAAUGCUUGGGAAUCUGGCUUAUGGAGGGGGAUAACGACGGGAAACUGUCGCUAAUACCGCGUACCAUAGGAUGAGCCCACGUGGGAUUAGGUAGUUGGUGGGGUAAAGGCCCACCAAGGCGACGAUCAGUAGCGGGUCUGAGAGGAUUACCCGCCACACUGGAAGUGAGACAGGGCAUAGACUCCUACGGGAGGCAGCAGUGGUGAAUUUUGGACAAUGGGCGCAAGCCUGAGCCAGCCAUGCCGCGGGUCUUAAGAAGGCCUUCGGGUUGUAAAGCACUUUCAGCGGGGAGGCGUUACCCGCAGAAGAAGCACCGGCUAACUACGUGCCAGCCGCCGCGGUAAUUC
rnacentral:rRNA from 1 species